rnacentral:lncRNA from 1 species
AUGUUUUUUUUUACAAAGAAUUUAAAAAUAUCUGAUGCUAAAAAAUUAGGUAUAAUGAAUAUGUCCAAUUAUAAUUGUGAUUAUGACAACACUAGUUUAGGAAAUAAAAGUAUGUUACUAUCUGAGCGUAGAAUAAAUACUAACGCUAGUCAUUAUAUGACAGGAUCUGAUACGACUGUUAUUAAUGCUGAUUGUAAAGAGAACAUAAAUAAAGAAUGUAAUGAAUAUUCUGAUAGAUAUGGAAACACGAAUGAACAAAAAAUUGAUAAUAAAGAAAAUAAUGUAAAUGGUGUUAUAAAAAAUAAUAAAUCAAAUAUAAACCAAACAAAUAUGUUAAACAACAUGUCUCCAAUUAAAGAUUCAAAUGAAAUGUCUUACGCGGGUUAUAAUAAUUUAUAUCAUUAUAAGUUAAAAGAUAAUACAACCAUUAAUAUUACUAGAAUGAAUAAUUCAAGUGAUGAUAACCAAAAUAAAUAUCUUGAACAAAAUAUGAAAAGUGAAAUAGCUAAUCUGAAUACAUUAAAUAAUGAUUACGAUUCUAGAUGUUUUAGAAUGAAAAACAUGAAAGAUAUACAAAAUAAAGAUCAUGGUAAUAUGAUUUAUAAAAAUGAUAUUUUUUAUAAUUGUACUAAUCAAGAUCUUAUGUAUAUAAUGCAUUAUUAUAUACGACAUGGUAAUUUUGCUUUAGUUACAAAUAAUAGUAAUUUAAUAUGUGAUAGUUAUUAUAACAAUUUGUUAUCCUUAAUAACUGUAUGUGAUGAAAAAAGUAAAGAUGAGAGUAAAGAUAAAAGUGAUAUUGUGUUAUUAAAUAAAAGUUUAUUUAAUUUUAUGAAAAUAAAAUAUAUAUCUAAUCGUUUAUUUAUGAAUAUACUUUUAUUUAUUGAAUAUAAUAUAACUAUGUAUACCUGUCUUAUUAUAUUAUCAAUUAUUACUUGUAUAGUUCAUGGAUUUGAAUUCUUAAACACUAUGCAAAUUUUAUAUAUAUAUGCAAAUAAAAAUAUUAUUUUAUACUAUAUUUCUUGUUUUCGAAAAAGUGAUUUUUGCAUUGGAGAAAAUAGGAAUAAAAAAAAUGUUAAAGACAUAUUUAAAGAUAUUAAUAUAAAUAAAGUAAUUUCAGGUAUUUGUUCCAAAACUCUUAUUUUGGUAUUUGUUUUUUUAUUUGGGCAUUUGUUUAUACCUGAAAGUAAGUGGAAUUUUGUUUCUGACGAUAUAAGAAAUCAGUUAGAUUUUUCCGAAUUUUCCUUUUACAAAAAAGAUAAAAGUAAUCUUUUUUUUUACCAUACUAUUCGGUCAUCCAUACGAUUUAAAAAAAAAUAUUGA